UCUUGAUUUAAAUGGUGGGACGGUU
rnacentral:piRNA from 1 species